rnacentral:rRNA from 1 species
UACGGGGGGAGCAAGCGUUGUUCGGAUUUACUGGGCGUAAAGGGCGGGUAGGCGGCCACCGCAAGUCAGUUGUGAAAUCUCCGGGCUUAACCCGGAAAGGUCAACUGAUACUGCGGGGCUAGAGUGCAGAAGGGGCAACUGGAAUUCUCGGUGUAGCGGUGAAAUGCGUAGAUAUCGAGAGGAACACCUGCGGCGAAGGCGGGUUGCUGGGCUGACACUAGCGCUGAACUGCGAAAGCUAGGGGAGCGAACGGG